UACGGAGGGUCCAAGCGUUAUCCGGAAUCAUUGGGUUUAAAGGGUCCGUAGGCGGUUUUGUAAGUCAGUGGUGAAAGCCCAUCGCUCAACGGUGGAACGGCCAUUGAUACUGCAAGACUUGAAUUAUUGGGAAGUAACUGGAAUAUGUAGUGUAGCGGUGAAAUGCUUAGAGAUUACAUGGAAUACCAAUUGCGAAGGCAGGUUACUACCAAUAUAUUGACGCUGAUGGACGAAGGCGUGGGGAGCGAACAGG
rnacentral:rRNA from 1 species